ACUUUCGUUCGAGUUGUGUAUUUGGGUAACAAUAGGCCGAGGCGAGAAAGGACACGCCCACAAUCCCUCGUUCAGUGCCGAGCUCUGUGCAUACGUGUCGACGAAAUUUCAAAAUGAAAUUUGUACACAAAUCUGUCACAAUUCGGACCCACUUUAGCCUCAGAUUAACAGAUAAUUAGAUCUCUUUGGAACACUAAAAGUCAUUCACUUGGGUUUUUUUAAUAUGCUGAUUCAGAUCAAUAACUACAUCCUAUUACAGGAAUUCGGUAGGUGUGAUGCUUGUCUAUGACAUUUCAAACAGACAAAGUUUUGAGAAUCUGCAGGAGUGGCUGCUGGAAGCUCAGGAGAACGUUAUCUACCCCCACAACACAACAUACAUGGUGGUGGGUCACAAAACGGACUUGGGAGAGGAUAUGAGAGAGGUACACAGAGAAGAAGGCGAACGCUUUGCCUUCGCCAACGGGAUGAAAUUUAUAGAAACCUCGGCCAAGGCUUGCACUAACGUCGAAGCAGCGUUCUCGGUGAUGGCAAAAGAGAUCUAUUCCAAAUUGGAAGCAGGCGACCUGUGCAUCAGGGAGGGAUGGGACGGCAUCAAGGGUGGAUUCGCAAUGCCACGGGAAACGUUGCGGCUAGAAGAACCUACGGAAAAACCCAGGAUAUGCUGCUAAGAAUAUGUUUAUGUUUUAUGUUAUUUACGAUAAAAAUCAAUAAUUUGUUUUGAAAUUAUACUUGUGUGCAUACAAUCAUUCAUUGUAGUACCAACAUGAGCAAGCAGUGUUAACCAUUUGUAGAAAAAUCCUCAAAUUGCAUUCAUUGGAGUACCAACAUGAACAAGCAGUCUUAACCAUUUGUAGCAAAAUCAUCAAAAUUGCAUUCUUUAUUGUAAUGCUUAAUAGAAGAUUAAGAAUAAUAUUUCAUGAACAAUGGAGUGAAUUGAUAAGGCACUAUAUGCUGGCAUUAAAUACAUAUAUAUAUAUCCCCUCCCCUAAAUAAAGCAAAUAAAAUCAAACAAAAUGUAUACCGGUAUAUAUAUUUUUUCUUAAUUGAAAAAUCUGUAGUAAUUUUGUCAAGAAUGUUCUAUGAAUACUUUCAUAUAAUGAAAUGAUAGUUAAUAGAAACUUAGACAGUGUGUGUGAUGAUGAUGCAAAAUCCUUUUUAUGAAUCUUUCCUAUUACCUGUAGGCCUAUAUGUAUUUAUACUGGAAGACAUGUUUAAAUAUGAUUUGGAAGAGAAAAUUCAGGAAAUUUAGCAGUUCAUAAAUUGAAGUUAUACAAAUGGUUAACACUGCAUUUAUUUACUAUUGAAGUAUAAUUUUGCUAUGUUUUGUACAUACUGUACCUGUAUUAGGGGUUUUUUUCUACACAUUUAUUUUGGUGUGUAGGUCCACAAUCAAUGUAGUGGCUUAUACAUGUAGUAACUGUACGUCUUUUUAUCUACCCAGUCAUAGCUUCGCCUAGAUAAAUAAUUGCUAAUGAAAAUAACCACUUGAAGGAAAUGGUACCCUGCUCAUUGCUGUACAGGUAGUGUGAGUACUUACACACUGUAAUAUGUUUGACGUUUGUAUGCAGAAAAAGAAUAUAAUUAUAAAAGAGGAUUUUUGUUAAAUCACAGGAAAUGAAUACCAGGGGUUAUACAUGUACACUUACAAUUGUGUAUGGCCCCCAAAAUUUAAUAGAUAUACACUGUAUGGACAACUAAAACAUUCCAUGGAUGGUUUGAUCAUUUUGUAUUCAAAUUCUUGAUUCAAAACUGUUCCAAAUAAUCUAAAGUUUUUUUUUUAAAUAAAAAAAAACCCCAUAUACAUGUAGGCCUACUGGUACAUAUUUUGGUUUCUAAAUCCAUCUCGAACCAAAUUCCAGAUUUACACACCUGACACCAUGAAAUGAAUACUCUAGUAUUAAGUGGCUUUCUGAUUUAGUUACACCUAUCUUAAUUUCCUUCAGCAAAUUUUGCCAUUGAGCUGACACGUUUCUUCAAAAGAAACAUGUAAUAUGUGUGUGUAGAUUUGUGGAUAUUCCAGACUUUCCAGCUCACUUGUCAUCCAUGUAAACGCAGUCAAAAGCGUAGUCCAAUUUGUGAUGUAUUAAAAAAAAAAGAAAAACAGCGAUUCAUCCAUUUAAGUCUGUACAGCGGUAUGAAGGAAAGUAGUGCUUCGUGGUGUUUAACAGUAAGAUGGAAGAAACCAUAAUACAGUUUGAAAUGUUCAUGACACCUGUGCUAUCAAUUUGCAUUCUGAAACUAUACAUGUUCUGUUGAGUAAAUUUGAAGUAUUUAUACCCAGUCACAUUUCAGAUGUACUGUAUAGUGUGUACGUAUCCAUCCAGUGCAUGCAAUAACUUGCCGAAUUAUUCUAAUGUACAUGUACCCUUUCAUUUACAUUUUGAAAUGCAUCACGAUUGUUCUCCUGGUGUACAUGUGCAUUCUUAUUAUUUCCAUUUUAAUUUUAUCAUCAACUUCAGUAGAAAGGCAUUCUCCAUCAAUUAUAUUUUAAAAUGGAUGUACAUGUCAUUCAUACACUGUAUGCAUAUUUGCAUAUGCGUCGUGAGUUAGCCCAACCAGAUGCCAUGGUUACCCGUGACUGAGCUUCUUCCAUGUAUAUUCUAUAUUCAUAUCCUUUUUUAAUUGAAGCCAGGAGUAUGUGUAUGUCACUUUGCCAGGCAUAUUCUUGGUACAUGUCUUUUAUUAAAGGUCUGAUGAUUAUGUUUUAAAAGCCUUGUAAAAAGAUGAAAAGAUUAAUUUAAUUUUUGAUGCAUAUAGGUUUUUGCAUUGUACGUGUACUUAUUAAUGAUGAUUACAAUGCAUAUUGUGUGUUAGUAUUUUAUGUCAUAAACCUGUAUUGCACGUACAUGUGCAAGUAGUGUUAUUUUUAAUGUCAGUUAUUAGAGUGGUGUAAUGCUUAUAAUUAAAGAUGAAAGUGUUCAGUUUGGAUUUAACAAUGGGAAUGUUUGCUGUUAUAUGAAUUGAAAUAAAUGAUAUUGGUAUUAUACAAUGAUUUAUGAAAAUUGUGCAAUACAUACAGUUGGAGCAAAAAGUAAUGUACAAACGGUUUAUUCCCUGUAAAUGAUCACUUGCCAAGAACUUUGAACUCUUGACAGUAAUAUUUUGAAGAAAUUAAACAAAUGUGCAACCGUGACCGGUGAUGUUUUGUGGAGUUGAGUUUAAAUUAAAAACUGAAUGCUUUACACAUAAUGUACAAUGUACAUCUAGAAAAGUUCAUAUUCAAUGUUUGUGGUGAGAAAUGAUGAGCAAAAAUAUAAUAAUUUUGAAUGUUUUACAUGUACAUGUACCUUUUAGUGUUUUAGCAUUUAAACAAGUGUUUUUAUGAAGCACAUUUUUCACCUGAAUAAACAUGUAUCAGUGGUCCUAUUGGCAAGAUAUCAAUGAUUGUUUGAUCAUUAUUCAUGUUGCCCUGGUUACUUAAAUAAUUUCUCAAAAUAUAACAUAUUUUCUUGUUUAAAGUGAGCAUUUUCAUGGAAUAUUCCAGGUCUUCACUUUUGGCUCCAACUGAACGUGAACCAUCCAUAGGAUAGUUGAUCUGUAUUUGUGCUUAAAAAGUAUGUAUUUAUACCUUAGUCGUCAAUAUCUACCUUCUCGCAUGUACCUUAUUGCCUUUUAGGUUAACGUAUGUGGGCAUAACUGUAUAAUGUACGUAGGUUCAUAUUUAAAAAUUUAUUCAAAAUUUGUCAUGUACAGAGCAGGAAAGAUGUAAAUGCCACUUGAUAUUUUUGAUGAAUCAAACUUGUGUGAGUACAUGUAGCUGAGCAAUGCAAGGUAGACUGUGUUAACCCAUUGCCGACUGGAACCAGAUGGUCCCUGGACAAAAGGUAUGGGAAUUUUCACAUUGAUAAAAAAAAAAUAGUAUACUCAUGAAUGUAAAUUGCACUUGUAGUAAUGUACCAAAAUGCAGAAUGAUAAAAAUCAGUAUUGCAGCAAUUCUGUUUUCAACUGGUACUGAAAUUGGGCUGUUCAGAAAUUUUUUGAAUUUCCUAAACCUUUCAUAAAUUUGAUGUAUAUUUCAUUGGAAUGCCUACCUGUGUAACUAAAUGUGAAACCAUCUUAACCCCAUGUGUAUUAGAGUUGUAAUUGUGAAUAAUAAGUAGAUUUAAAUGUUGCUAUGAUAAGGAAUAUUAAGGAUAAUUUCUAAUUUGAUAAUUUUAACUCUUGAUAUAAAUGGGAUGCUUAUAUUUCAUUUUAAAAAUCACAUCCGUACAUGUAUGUCGUAGAGAUAUAGCUCUUGUAGGAAGACAAUCAUGUGAGGUAAAAUACCAAGUACGGUACACGUAUGAUUACACUCUUUUGCAAAGUAGUAAUCCAAAAGCAGUGAUCACGUCUUGGCAUUCUGCCUGAAAUUAAAAUGAGGAUGGAUUACUCAUUAUUGUGUAAUAUUUCUAGUAAAGGUUAAAAUAUAUUUUAUAUGCCUUAUGUUUUAGAGCAAUUAUGUACAAAUACUAAUUGCUUCCUUAAUUCAAAUUAAUACCCACAAUGAUUUUUAAUCUAAAUGGUAAAUUCUAGGAGGAGUUGUGUAUUGACAUAUUUUAUGCCAUCUAAGGGGGGGGGGGUGCACUUCCUAACUAAGGCAAAUAUAUAUUAGUACACCUAGCUCAUUAACUUUACCAAUUUAAUUAGUUUUUUCCUUUGCCCCCCCCCUGCUCAUGGUCACACAGGCUACAUUGCUCAGAACAGAAAGAAAGAGAAGUCUCUAGACAGUCUUAAAAAAAGUCAGUAUUUUCAUACUGUACUGCACAUUGUCAAUUGAAACUUAUAAAAUGCUUGCAUUGAAGUUUGUUUUGUGGAGUCACAGGCACUGUAUGUAGUUCAUAAACAGCUUCUCAUCCUACAGUCAGUUUUACUUUCAGCUUAAAUGUACACAAAUGUACAAAGUAGUGAUAAGAAUUCUUUGCAUUUGUUCUAUUUUAAAAUACCUUUGAAACUAUUAUUUUCUCUACCUCACCUGCUGCUUGUUAUCUGUUAAAAAAUGCAUGCAUCAAACUCUGAAAGUAAUUUUUUUAGAUGUGAUCUAUUUCACUUUAUUCUUUUUGUUGUCUUUCUUGACAAAUUAUUUAUGAUAUCCUGCUGCAGUAUUUCAUUUGUUAGAAGGUGUUUAGGACUUACAUUUAAGUAGGACAAGAAUGCAUUUUCAAUUUUUUGGUUUACUUUCCCCCCCAUGUACAUGUAGAUUACUAUAUUGAUUCUCUUAUAAAAGUUGUGAACGAAAGUCAAAGUUAUUAAGAAUGCUCCAUUUUCAUUAAACUGAGGCUGAAAUAUAGUGUUGAGAAUGUUUAAUUUUAAAUUCAAUAGUUUAUUGAAAUUUGAAUUGCAUUUGAUGAUCAUACUGAUUUUAUUACUGGCACAUGAUAUGUGUAAAUUCUAUUUGAUACAAAGAAAAACUAAAAGAAAAGUACAAUCCUUGCCUAUCCUGUAUUAGAGCUACAUGUACAUAUACCCACAUAGUGUGUGUUUACUUCUGAGUUCAAAUACUAGAUUGUCUAUAAUACUACAUGUACAUGAUGUCAACAAACCAGAUGUACAUGUACAUGUACCUCUAUGAAGCAUAUUGUUUCCUAGAUUUUGAAAGGUGUUGCUAUUAUUCAUGUACAAAACAUUGUUUUUGUAGAGCAUUUCAAGCCUAUUUAUUGAAUUUCAUUCCCUCCAUCUGCCCAUUGCAAGCCAACAACUCAAGAACACAGAGAAGUGAAGGGUUUGAAUAAAUUUUGAAGUUGACCCCCCCCCCCGAAAAUAAAAAUUACAGUGAUUAAUAGUUCAGGUCAGAAAUUAUUGCAAAAUGACUUAAGUUUUUAUACUUUUAUUAUGCAUUAUAUUUGCCAAUCUGAAGCAAAAAUAAAUACGCAUACUAUGAUUGUAUAGUUUUAUUUGUUUUCAUCUCCUCUGAAAUAAAGACAAAUGAUAUGAUGCAUGGAUUUAUGCUUAAACUGGUUAAAUAUUGAUUGUCAUUUUGAAUCGGCAACUAUGCAUUUGCAACUGUAAGUAUGUGAUUCCCCAUUCGAUUUUUUUAUUAAAGAUUUUUCAACUACUCUUCAUAAUUUCAUUUAAAGCUAGUAAAUAUGAUUUGCUGCUUAUUGCUUGUCAUUUUUUAUUUCAUUUACUUGGAACUUUACACUUGCAAGGGAUCUCAAGGCAGCAUUUUCUGUGUGUGGGGAAUGAUUGCAUUGGGAGAUCUAGAAUGGGACAUGUGUCAAUUUACAGAUUUUUAAUGUUUGAUCCCUUUGAUAUAAUAUUGUUUUCGUCACUUUCCUGGAUGUAAAUAAGAUAUUUUUUAAAAACAGAUGACACAUUUUAAUCUAAUUGUAUCAUAUUUCAGAAAAAUAUGAUAAAGUGGUAUUUUUUUUUAAUUUGGUACCACUUUUGCAUAGGUGGUUUUAAGUGCAGUUCAAUAUUACUAAUAUCAUGUAAAAGUUAAAAGGUUUUGUGUGAUAUUUUUGAGGUAAUGGUAUAUUGUUGUCUGGACUUGUGUGGUAAUCCAAUUCUUCCUAUCAUUUCCCCCCACUUUCCGCUUGCCCCAAUGAUAGAAAUCACUGCUCUUGAGCUGAAUAUAGAUAUUUUCAAUCAAAAUACCGAGUUUUUACAAAGUGAUCAUUGCUAAUAUGUAACCAUAGACUAUAUGUGAAUCAUUGUUAAGAUGAAGAUGCACCCAUACCCCAUAGAAGGAGAAUGUUGCUAGUGUUCCCUUUAAGUUUAGCUCUUUUUUCUCUGUCAAUUGGAGCAUGAAUUCCAGAUUUACUUUACAUAUUGAUGUGUCAACCUAAUAUCCUGUACAGAAAUAAUAAGCUGCAGUGUAUAAUAAGGGGACUGUGACACAAGACUUCAUUGAACUGAUUUUUACAACUGUGUGUGUAAUGACUAUAGUAAUCAAAUAUGGACAGUUGCUAAGAAUUGUGUUAUGUGACCCAGGGCCCUACCAGUAUUUAAAAAUACAGUUUAAGAAUAUCAGUGACAAAUGAUCUGUGAGGAAUUUGUCCUUGGCCAAUCAGAGGGAAUCAUUUCAGUAGUUUAUCACAGUAGCUAAUAACUCACCAUUUGAUAUGUUACUUUGUGAAACGGCCCCUAAAAGCCCCAUGCACAAGGAAUUCCAUGUUUAUAAUGAUCCUCAUUCCUUUAAUUCCCUGUACCACACACUUUGUUGAAGAGAAAUAUUAGAGAUGAUCACAUUAAAAAAAAAUGUUGCUGCUUUACUUACAUUAAUUACUGGUGAUGCUUUAUCUGUAAAUGUAGGCAGGGAAAUAUUGUUAAAGGUUACAAUUGCAAAUAAAAAUCAAGUGUGAAAACUCGACAAAGAAUCUUUAUACAUCUCAAGCCCAAAACAUGGUUUGUUUCAAAAGCAGCAACAAUUAGGGUGUGUAUUGAAUAAAUUUGGAAGGCUCUCUACUUGCAUGAAUAUUUGUAUAUUACUAAAAAAAUGUGGACAUAUUUGCUGUAUGGAUAUUUCAUGGGCUAGUUUAUUUGCUUGAAUUCAUGAUUGUUUAAAAAAACAUUUUGAUUUCAAGAAAUGCAAUUUACUCUGAUCACAUUUUGUAAUUUAUUAAUUAUUUUAUAAUGGUCUGCAUGUGAACAUGAAUAACAUGUUUUUGUUUUUAAUUGCUACUUUUUGUUGGUGUUAUGGGCGUAUUAUUUAUGCCUUGUUCCCUUACAUUAGGUUUUUUGCCCUGUCACUGCAACUUAUAUAAUCAUGUACAGUUAUAUUUACAUCUUGAUGUGCAGUAUAUAUGAUAAUGUCAAAGUAAAUUGUGAGCUAAACCAAA